AGAAAAUCGUUUAUUUGUUCCAAAGAAGAGAUAAAUCAAUUUCUUAAGAAAAUGAAUGAUAAGGAUUUCUUAUUUUUGAAGUUUCAGGUUGUUUUGAUAGUCGGAGUGUUUGGUGCUUGUCGACACGAGGAGAUCACAAAUUUUACGACACGAGACGUUAGAGCCGAAAAAGAAUUUAUCAAGAUCACCUUACUGAAUUCAAAAACUAAAAUUAUGUAGAAUUUGCUAUACCGAGAGGAAAUUUUCAGGGAAUAAUUAACAUGUUGCUUGGUCAUAGAGGCUGGAAGUCGGAUAGCAUGGCAGAAGGAUAUGUUGAAACAUCUGUCGAAAAUAAGAAAAUAAUUGCUACGAAAAUAACGGGUUCUUCAGUUACUGUGGGUUCAACAAAUUAGGUCACGGUGGAGAAGCCCAGCUUCAACAUGGGAACAGCGUCUGGUGUUAACUUUAUAAAUGCUUCAAACUGUGUAAUUUAUGUUAAUAAAUGGUUUUGAAACUUU